rnacentral:rRNA from 1 species
AGCGAACGCUGGCGGCAGGCCUAACACAUGCAAGUCGAACGAAGCCUUCGGGCUUAGUGGCGGACGGGUGAGUAACACGUGGGAACGUACCUUUUGGUUCGGAAUAACGCAGAGAAAUUUGCGCUAAUACCGAAUGAGCCCUUCGGGGGAAAGAUUUAUCGCCGAAAGAUCGGCCCGCGUUUGAUUAGGUAGUUGGUGUGGUAAAGGCGCACCAAGCCUACGAUCCAUAGCUGGUCUGAGAGGAUGAUCAGCCACACUGGGACUGAUACACGGCCCAGACUCCUACGUGAGGCAGCAGUGGGGAAUCUUGCGCAAUGGGCGAAAGCCUGACGAAGCCAUGCCGCGUGAAUGAUGAAGGUCUUAGGAUUGUAAAAUUCUUUUACCAGGGACGAUAAUGACGGUACCUGGAGAAAAAGCCCCGGCUAACUUCGUGCCAGCCGCCGCAGUAACAC